rnacentral:rRNA from 1 species
UACAGAGGUCUCAAGCGUUGUUCGGAUUCAUUGGGCGUAAAGGGUGCGUAGGUGGCGCGGUAAGUCGGGUGUGAAAUUUCGGAGCUUAACUCCGAAACUGCAUUCGAUACUGCCGGGCUUGAGGACUGGAGAGGAGACUGGAAUUUACGGUGUAGCAGUGAAAUGCGUAGAGAUCGUAAGGAAGACCAGUGGCGAAGGCGGGUCUCUGGACAGUUCCUGACACUGAGGCACGAAGGCCAGGGGAGCAAACGGG